CAUUGAACGCUGGCGGAAUGCUUUACACAUGCAAGUCGAACGGCAGCACGGGUGCUUGCACCUGGUGGCGAGUGGCGAACGGGUGAGUAAUGCGUCGGAACGUACCGAGUAAUGGGGGAUAACGCAGCGAAAGUUGUGCUAAUACCGCAUACGCCCUGAGGGGGAAAGUGGGGGACCGCAAGGCCUCACGUUAUUCGAGCGGCCGACGUCUGAUUAGCUAGUUGGUGGGGUAAAGGCCUACCAAGGCGACGAUCAGUAGCGGGUCUGAGAGGAUGAUCCGCCACACUGGGACUGAGACACGGCCCAGACUCCUACGGGAGGCAGCAGUGGGGAAUUUUGGACAAUGGGGGCAACCCUGAUCCAGCCAUUCCGCGUGAGUGAAGAAGGCCUUCGGGUUGUAAAGCUCUUUCAGCUGGAACGAAACGGUACGCGCUAACAUCGUGUGCUAAUGACGGUACCGGCAGAAGAAGCACCGGCUAACUACGUGCCAGCAGCCGCGGUAAUACGUAGGGUGCGAGCGUUAAUCGGAAUUACUGGGCGUAAAGCGUGCGCAGGCGGAUUGUUAAGCAAGACGUGAAAUCCCCGGGCUUAACCUGGGAAUGGCGUUUUGAACUGGCAGUCUAGAGUGCGUCAGAGGGGGGUGGAAUUCCACGUGUAGCAGUGAAAUGCGUAGAGAUGUGGAGGAACACCGAUGGCGAAGGCAGCCCCCUGGGAUGACACUGACGCUCAUGUACGAAAGCGUGGGUAGCAAACAGGAUUAGAUACCCUGGUAGUCCACGCCCUAAACGAUGUCAACUGGUUGUUGGGGGAGUGAAAUCCCUUAGUAACGAAGCUAAC
rnacentral:rRNA from 1 species